UAUAGCUCAGUGGCACAGCAUCUGCUUGGCAAGCAGCAAGUCCUGAGUUCAAUUCCCAGUA
rnacentral:tRNA from 1 species